UACGUAGGGGGCAAGCGUUGUCCGGAAUCAUUGGGCGUAAAGAGCGUGUAGGCGGCUCGAUAAGUCUGCUGUGAAAGUCCAGGGCUCAACCCUGGAAGGCCGGUGGAAACUGUCGGGCUAGAGUCCGGAAGAGGCGAGUGGAAUUCCCGGUGUAGCGGUGAAAUGCGCAGAUAUCGGGAGGAACACCGAUGGCGAAGGCAGCUCGCUGGGACGGUACUGACGCUGAGACGCGAAAGCGUGGGGAGCAAACAGG
rnacentral:rRNA from 1 species